GGGGUUGUAGCUCAGUGGUUGAGCGCUUGCCUUGUAUGCAUGAGGCACUGGAUUCUAUCCUCAGCACCACA
rnacentral:tRNA from 1 species